UACGAAGGGUGCAAGCGUUACUCGGAAUUACUGGGCGUAAAGAGCUCGUAGGUGGUUUGUCGCGUUGUUCGUGAAAACUCACAGCUCAACUGUGGGCGUGCGGGCGAUACGGGCAGACUAGAGUACUGCAGGGGAGACUGGAAUUCCUGGUGUAGCGGUGGAAUGCGCAGAUAUCAGGAGGAACACCGGUGGCGAAGGCGGGUCUCUGGGCAGUAACUGACGCUGAGACGCGAAAGCGUGGGGAGCAAACAGG
rnacentral:rRNA from 1 species